rnacentral:rRNA from 1 species
GAUGAACGCUGGCGGCGUGCUUAAUACAUGCAAGUCGAACGAGGAGCCUUUGUAGUAAUACAGGGGAUUUCCUAGUGGCGAACGGGUGAGUAACGCGUUGGUGACCUGCCCCGGAGAGAGGGAUAACAGGCCGAAAGGCCUGCUAAUACCGCAUGAGCAACUGGGAGAUUAGAAGCCUGGUUGGAAACGGAGAAAUCCGCUCUGGGAGGGGCCUGCGUCCCAUCAGCUAGUUGGUAAGGUAAAAGCUUACCAAGGCGAUGACGGGUAGGGGACCUGAAAGGGUGGCCCCCCACAAUGGAACUGAAACACGGUCCAUACACCUACGGGUGGCAGCAGUAGGGAAUAUUGCUUAAUGGGCGAAAGCCUGAAGCAGCAACGCCGCGUGCGCGAUGAAGGCCUUCGGGUUGUAAAGCGCUUUUAGCUGGGAAGAGGAAGGACGGUACCAGCGGAAUAAGCCUCGGCUAACUACGUGCCAGCCGCCGCCGUAACAC